CAGCUGAGUACGUCCGACGGUACGAGCAGUGCCAGAAGUUUGCCCCAAUGAUACACCAACCAGGAGAACCCCUCCAUUCCAUCACCUUCCCACGGCCAUUCAUCAAAUUGGGAAUGGACAUAGUCGGCCCACUACCCUCAGGACGAGGAAAUGUACGAUUUCUACUUGUUUUAACUGACUACUUCUCCAAGUGGGUUGAAGCAGGUGCGUACGCACAAAUACGCGAGCAAGAAGUCAUCACCUUUAUUUGAAAAAACAUCAUAUGCCGUUUCGGCAUCCCCAAAGAAAUCAGCUGUGAUAAUGGACGCUAGUUCAUUGGCCAGAAAACGACAGAGUUCUUCGAAAAAUGGCGCAUCAAAAAGAUAUUGUCCACGCCAUACCACCCCGCCGCCAACGGCCAAGCGGAGUCCUCCAACAAAACAAUUCUAAACAUACUCAAAAAGAAGCUCGAAGAUGCCAAGAGGCUAUGGCCCGAACUACUACCCGAAGUCUUGUGGGAGCACAGAACCACCCCCAAAUCCAACACCGGGGAAACCCCAUAUUCACUGGUUUACGGAACCGACGCGGUCAUACCCGUCGAAGUGGGUGAACCCAGCCUAAGUUACUCACACACCAAUGGAACAGAAAACGACAUCAGCAGGUUCCAAGAUCUCGACGAAGCCGAAGAAAGAAGAGAAAUGGCCCACAUCAGAAUGGUAGCCAUUCCUCCGGGGAAACCCCAUAUUCACUGGUUUACGGAACCGACGCGGUCAUACCCGUCGAAGUGGGCGAACCCAGCCUAAGGUACUCAUACACCAGUGGUACAGAAAACGACAUCAGCAGGUUCCAAGAUCUUGACGAAGCCAAAGAAAGAAGAGAAAUGGCCCACAUCAAAAUGGUAGCCCAAAAACAACAAAUCGAAAGAUAUUACAACAAGAGGGAAAAAAAUGAGGCCGCUCAAAACAGGGGACUACGUCCUCAAAGCCAAAACCUUGGCCUCAAAAGAGCCAAGUGAAGGAAAAUUGGGCACAAAUUGGGACGGACCCUACAAAAUCACGGCGAUGGCCAGAAACGGAGCGUUCUAGCUAGAGACAAUGGAAGGAAAGACGCUCCAGAACAACUUAAACGUCGCUCACCUCAAACAUUUCCACUUCUAAAAAGGUGUCACCUGAGUCGUACUCUUUUUUAUGGAAGUAAAGACGCUCCAGAACAACUGGAACGUCGCUCAUCUCAAACGUUUCCACUUCUAAAAAGGUGUCACCUGAGUCAUACUCUUUUUUCCUUACCCGAGUUUUGUCCCAAUUGGGUUUUCUCGGGAAGGUUUUUAACGAGGCGGCUAAGGGGUCACCUGGAGAUGUUUGCACCGCAAGUGCAUCAUGUCCGCUUCUCCAUAAACUCUCCAAGCUAGACAAGAUAUAGGGACUGGAUUAGUGUCAUCUCCAAGUGAAUGAAAAGGCUACGGCCAUCUCCAGAUGAAUGUAAAGGCUACGGCCAUCUCCAGAUGAAUGUAAAGGCUACGGCCAUCUCCGGAUGAAUGUGAAGGCUACGGCCAUCUCCGGAUGAAUAUAAAGGCUACGGCCAUCUCCAAAAGAAUAUAAAGGCUACGGCCAUCUCCAAAUGAAUGAAGUGGCUAUGGCCAUCGUUUAUAUGGGUAAGGCCAUCAGGCUACGGCCUUUAUUUUACAUGGCUAUAGCCAUCGUUUAUAUGGCUAAGGCCAUCAGGCUAAGGCCUUUAUUUUAUAUGGCUAAGGCCAUCCGGUUACGACCUUUAUUUUACAUGGCUUAAGGCCAUCAGGCUACGGCCUUUAUUUUACAUGGCUAUGGCCAUCGUUCAUAUGGCUAAGGCAUCAAGCUAUGGCCUUCAUUUUACAUGGCUAUGGCCAUCGUUCAUAUGGCUAAGGCCAUCAGGCUACGGCCUCUAUUUUACAUGGCUAUGGCCAUCGUUCAUAUGGCUAAGGCCAUCAGGCUACGGUCUUUAGUUUACAUAGCUAUGGCCAUCGUUCAUAUGG
rnacentral:lncRNA from 1 species